GUAGGUGAACCUGCGGAAGGAUCAUUAUCGAGCGAAUCCAAAACGAACGAAAAAGUCUCCCAACGUGCAUACCUUCCAUUUGCAUGUUGUUGUGAGCCACAUGGAAACUCGUACACACGUGGUGGCAGCCGUCUGCUGUGCUUUUUUUAGGCAGACAAUGGCUUACGAGUGGCCGUGUGCUUGUUGAACAACGGUGACCAAUUUGGCGUCUACGCCGUAUCUAGCUUCUGCCUGGACCGUCAGUUGCGAUGAAAGAUGCGGAGAAAGUUCCUUUGUUUUGGCUGCUAAUCAUCAUUGAUGAGCAGCAGCUUAAGGCAGAGUCGAGCAGACUUAAUGAGCCACGCUAGGUGGCCGCCAAAACCCAAAACACAACCGGUCUAUUUGACAUUGUUAUUUCAUUGUAUGUGUUGAAAAUGUACAAAUCUUGGCGGUGGAUCACUCGGUUCGUGGAUCGAUGAAGAACGCAGCCAGCUGCGAUAAAUAGUGCGAAUUGCAGACACAUUGAGCACUAAGAAUUCGAACGCACAUUGCGCUAUCGGGUUCAUUCCCGAUGGCACGUCUGGCUGAGGGUCGAAUUACGGUGAACUGUCUUCACGGUUUUUCUGGACUGUGAAGCAUUCGGCAAGCAAUUGCUGUUGUGUUGUUGGUGAUUCUAUCAUGGACAAUAUGACGAGCGGUUCCUUGCUUAGUGAUGACAAAAGAAGACGUCAACACCGAAUCUACUAUACUACUAAUACUAGUAUAUAGGUGAGGUGCUUUUGGUGGUCACAAAAGUGGCAAGUAUGCCAUUUCAUAGGGGCAACAACCAGCAUACGUGAUAAGUUGGCUGGUUGAUGAAACGGCAACGGAAUGACGGACGUCUAUGUGAUCAAAAAUGAUACUAUUUGACCUCAGCUCAGUCGUGAUUACCCGCUGAAUUUAAGCAUAUAAUUAAGCGGAGGAAAAGAAACUAAC
rnacentral:rRNA from 1 species